rnacentral:rRNA from 1 species
AGGACGAACGCUGGCGGCGUGCUUAACACAUGCAAGUCGAACGGAGAUACAUGGAGGAGAGCUCGGCAGGAAUCCGGCGUAUCUUAGUGGCGGACGGGUGAGUAACGCGUGAGCAACCUGUCCCAGACAGGGGGAUAACACUUGGAAACAGGUGCUAAUACCGCAUAAGACCACGGAGUCACAUGGCUCAGGGGUAAAAGGAGGAAUCCGGUUUGGGGUGGGCUCGCGUCCGAUUAGAUAGUUGGUGAGGUAACGGCCCACCAAGUCGACGAUCGGUAGCCGACCUGAGAGGGUGAUCGGCCACAUUGGAACUGAGAGACGGUCCAAACUCCUACGGGAGGCAGCAGUGGGGAAUAUUGGGCAAUGGGCGAAAAAGCCUGACCCAGCAACGCCGCGUGAGUGAAGAAGGCUUUCGGGUUGUAAAGCUCUGUUAUAGGGGACGAAGGAAGUGACGGUACCCUAUAAGGAAGCCCCGGCUAACUACGUGCCAGCCGCCGC